AAAAGCACAUAAAAAAAGACACUAGCUUCAACUAGUGUCCGUGUAGAACCGUUUAAGACGGUAGCUAUACAAUUAAUAGAAUUUAAAU
rnacentral:sRNA from 1 species